GCCUGGGUGGGUCAGUCGGUUGAGCGUCUGACUUUGAGUCAGGUCAUGAUCUCACGGCUCGUGGGUUCGAGCCCCGCGUCGGGCU
rfam:Felis catus isolate Cinnamon breed Abyssinian chromosome A3, whole genome shotgun sequence.